rnacentral:lncRNA from 1 species
CCAUCUUGUUGUACUAUGACAGCACUGUUGCUAUUGCUCAAACGAAGGAAUCGAAGUCACAUCAGUAGAUCAAGCACAUUCUAUGCUGCUACCAUCGGUCUGAAAGAUCGUGGAUCGAGGUGACGUCGAGCUUCAGAAGAUCGAUGGAAAGAAGAAUCUGAUCGAUCCAUUUACUAAAGCCCUCAAUGUCAAGGAGUUCGAAGUUUAUAAAUCAAAGAUAGAUAUAUAAUACUAUACCGAUUUGCUUUAGUCUAAGUGAGAGUUAUUGAAAAUUAUGUUCGAAAGUCAAUCGUUAGUCUGUUGACGGUUGAACUUAUUAUUAUAAUUAUAUAUAAAUUAUUGAAUUAAUAAAUAUUAUUUAAUUUUUUCAUCACUGUGUACAUCUUAUUUUGAACUCCUGUUAUGUGAUGAAGUUUUUAGGACUAUUUGAUUUGAUAUAAGAGGAUA